UACGUAGGGGGCAAGCGUUGUCCGGAAUCAUUGGGCGUAAAGCGCGUGUAGGCGGCCCGGUAAGUCCGCUGUGAAAGUCGGGGGCUCAACCCUCGGAUGCCGGUGGAUACUGUCGGGCUCGAGUACGGAAGAGGCGAGUGGAAUUCCUGGUGUAGCGGUGAAAUGCGCAGAUAUCAGGAAGAACACCCGUGGCGAAGGCGGUUCUCUGGGACGGUACUGACGCUGAGACGCGAAAGCGUGGGGAGCGAACAGG
rnacentral:rRNA from 1 species